rnacentral:rRNA from 1 species
UUUACGGGGGGGGGACGGAAAGACCCUUACCAGGUCUUGACAUCCUCUGACAACCCUAGAGAUAGGGCUUCCCCUUCGGGGGCAGAGUGACAGGUGGUGCAUGGUUGUCGUCAGCUCGUGUCGUGAGAUGUUGGGUUAAGUCCCGCAACGAGCGCAACCCUUGAUCUUAGUUGCCAGCAUUCAGUUGGGCACUUUAAGGUGACUGCCGGUGACAAACCGGAGGAAGGUGGGGAUGACGUCAAAUCAUCAUGCCCCUUAUGACCUGGGCUACACACGUGCUACAAUGGGCAGAACAAAGGGCAGCGAAGCCGCGAGGCUAAGCCAAUCCCACAAAUCUGUUCUCAGUUCGGAUCGCAGUCUGCAACUCGACUGCGUGAAGCUGGAAUCGCUAGUAAUCGCGGAUCAGCAGCCCGUCCAG